GGUUGCACCCUGAGAUGCUGGUGGAUUAGGAGGCUUUGUGGCUGGUUCACCCCAGUACUUGGAGGGAGGAGGGGCCUGGAGCUUGAGUGGGGAGACGAGCUCCCAGAAGCCCCCUGAGAUUAGGAUAAAGAGCUGACAGCAGGGGGUCAAUCCAUCUUGGCCUUCUGGGAGGAUAGGACAGGUGAUCAGAAUCUUCAGAGCCGAAGCCUUGAGCCGAGGCCUUUCCCACUGCCCCAUAUCCAUCCCUGCCCCAACUCACCCCACCAGCUCUAGCUCUCUAAGAGCAACGACGUUCCCUGCCUGCCUUCUGCCCUAAAUCUGAGGGUCUCAGCGACAGGGACGGCCCUGUAAUGCAGGGGUCAGGAGCCAGGCUCUGGAACCAGCCCAGGUUCAAAUCUCAGCUUUGCAAUUUACUAGCUGUGUGACCCCAGGUGCGUUUCUUAACCUCUCUCUGCCUAGAAUUCUCUUCUCCUAAUCUUUCACCUCCUUCACGGUUUUCCUUAAAUGUCACCUUCUCAGCCAGGCCUAUAGUGACCAUUCUGUUAACAAGAGCACCCCCAACUUUCAGCACGCCCCAGACUGUUUAUCCUGCUUGAUCGCUCUUCCUCGCAUGUACACCUUCUGACUUACUGUUUAUUUAUUCUGCCUGCUGCCUGGGAUCGCACCAGAAUGAAAGCGCCAUGAAGGCGGGGAUUCUAUCUGUUUUGUUGCCCACUGCAUCUCCAUUGCCAGAAGGGUAUCUGGCGGGUUUGGGCCCUCAGUGACUAUUCUUUGAGUGAACAGGCGUAAUAAUAGCAUCUCUCCCACUGUUAUUGUGAGGCUGAAACGAGUUAAUACGUGCAGUGCAUUUAGAAUAGAGCCUGGCACGUAGUAAGAGCUGAACACAUGUUAGUUUUUGCCUUUAUUCUUCUAUGACAGGGAUCAGAAACUAAACUGCCUACGGGGGCCAGCAAGCGGAGUGUGUGAGUGAAGCCAGGGGGUCAGGGAGGCAACAGGAGCGGUGAGGCCCAUGCCUACAUGGCAGGGGCUGCCCGUGUUCGACUCCAUUUGAAUGUGGUCAGACGGGAUUAUGGCCUGGUGUUACUAGAUUUUUUUGGUAAGCCAAAAGAAAUCCAGAAAUCAGAUUUUCAGAUGCAAUUUCCAAACUUUCAGAGUGAUUUCUGAAUUUUCAAAAACAUAGUGUGGGAUAAAUAUAACUUAGCUGUGGCUCAGUUUCAGCUGCAGGUCAUCAGUUUGCAACCCAUCCUGGUGCCGGGAGCUGGCAGACGACAGUACCUGCUCGUUGAGUGAGUGAAUGGAGAAGUAGGGGACGGGGAGCUCCACCACGGGAGGCUUCCACCCCUGCGGUCAGCUCAGUCACCAGAACAGGCCACAGGGAAGAGCCCUCGUGAGUAGGUUUGCACCUGAAAUCUCAUCACCCAAAGGAGAGGUCGGUGGUGCCCUGGCUUGGCUGAGCGUAACGCCUGGAACCCCAGAAUCGCCGUCUUGGGUGGGAGAGAUGUCUCUUCUCUGUCCAGGGGUGGUAACUAUAAAGAAUAAAGCCCACAGUGUCUAGGUGGGUGAGUUGGGGUUUGGAUCCUAUUUUGUCACAGGCUAAUGGCAGGGGAAAGCAGGUCCCCGCUGCUGGGAGAAAGCCACCUGCCAGCCUCCCCCGAUGUUGCUCAGAAAGGACCCAGAAGUUCAGGCACAGAUGUGCUGACCUAUCCCUCCUGCCCACCCCACCCGCUGCGGGUCCAGAGUGUUUCUCAGGAGGCCUUAAUGUUAGGGGGUGGUGUGUGUGUGUGUGUGUGUGUGUGUGUGUGUCCUUAUUAUUUUUUCCCAUCAGUUUGUGACAGCAUAUUAUUUCUUUGUCUAGACUUUCACUAUCUUGCAGCAAGGCAUUUGUUCUCCAGAGCAGUUAGAAACAGGACAGUCACCGAACUCAAAAACAAACAAACAAACAAAACCCAGGCCAUGAAAGUGAGGCCAGAGGCCUUCACCCUGGCCUCUGCACCUGGCAUGGGUGGUGAUCAGAAGUGCCUCCUGGGUAUCCACACCGAGACUGCAGGUGAGGUGAGGCCGAUGUCACAGGAAGAAACCAAGCUCCAAAAGGAUGUCACCUGUCUGUGUCACACAGUUGCCAAAUGGCGAAGCCAGGAGGAAAGCCCAGGGCGGCCAGACUCCCCACUUAGAGCUCUUUCCAGGACAUUACAGCCGCCUCCUUUCUCAAGGAGGCCUGAGCAGAGCGGGCAAGAAGCUGCAUUUCUGAAGGGAUCCAAGGAGGAACUACCUCAUUCUCAACAGCUCAUGAAACUCUGAGUUUUUGUGUCUGAACAGAGACGCGCCUGGGUACCCCUCUCAUGAGGGUGUUAGGUGACAUCACACACAGCCGUGCUGACGGGACACAGAUUGGGCAUGACGUGGGCACAGGGUACAAAGCUGGAAGUGACAAGGGGAGGAGACAGAAUGCAGCAGCUGGAGGAGGCCUGGGAGACCGUCUAGAACGAACACCUUCAGUUUGCCGAUGAAGGAACAGAGAUCCAGGAAAGGGUGGUGAUGGGCUCCCUGCCUUCUCAUCCACGCUCCCUCCUCCCACCUUCCACACCCCCUAACCCUCACCAAAUGGCAGGGACUGGGCAAGUUGAAGGGAGGGUCCCCAGAAGCAAGUAGAACUGCCAGCCGAGAUGCCAGCGGAAGUGGAGGGCAGUGGAGACCCUGCCCGCCGCCCCCCCCCCCGACCCCAGCAGCUUUCUGCAUUGUCAAAAACCUAAAAUGAUCCGAAAGUGCAAGCGUGAGCCCCAAGAACCACUCGUGGGCGCAGCUGGCUGAAAGCAGCCGUGCACACGAGCUUAAGACCCCAGGCCAGGAACUUCGGGGGCAGACAACUUAUUUUAAAAGUAAGGAAGCAGCGGGGUGCACCCAUGCAACGGACCUCUACUCGGUGAUAUAAGGGGACAAGCUACUGACAUCCAGCCACAAGGUGACUCAGAGGCAACGAGCCGAGUGACGGAGGCCAGGCUCAAAGGCUACUGCAGUAUGGCUCCAUUUCUAUGACAUUCUAGAAAAGGCAAAUCUGCAGGGUCAGAAAAUCCAUCAGUGGUCACCAGGUGCUGGGGGUGGGAGGAGUGGAUGGACAUCAAAGGAGCCUGAGGGGAUGUUUUGGAGUGAUGGAAAUAUCACGUUGAUUUCGGUGCUGGUUACAAGGCUGUGUACUUUUGUCAAAAUUCACUGAACCAUAUACUUCAAAAGGGUGAAUUUUACUGUAUGUCAAUGAACCCCCGAUACCAAAUGUCAAAGAUCUCAAUAAACUUGUAAAAAGAAAAGUCAGGGGGACUUGUAGGGGCGGGGAGGUUUUUGGAAAUAAAGACAGUAUGCUGGCUAAGGAAGCCUGCUGCUGACCUGCGCCCCACUUAACAUUUGUCCAAGGUUUUCCCUACCUACAUAAUCACCAGCAGGUCUGCAGAAUCCUGUUUAAACUCUCCUUGUCAAGGCCACUCACAGCUGGAAGUAAAAUCACUUAAACAAGCUGAGGCCUUUGAGGUCCUUUGAAUUUCAUGGCUUGAAUUUCCAAGAAGGGACUUUGGCUCCGCCAAGAUUUCUCUGCACCCAUCCCCUAAUCUCAUAAUUGAUUGGUUUUCACAAAGGGAACAGAAACAAAACCCUGGUUCCUGAGUUGUAUGGUUUCUAUUUGCUUCGAUCAUUAAUCAGCCCCAGUGAAGGGAGAAGUGUCUCCUACUGCAGAAACCCAAUCCACCCUCCCCAGUAAAAGGAGGCCCAAGGCGGUCCCACGGGCAGAACCUCGGGGCAGCCGUCCCUCUGGCUCAGCUGGCCAGGGCUUUGGAGCUGAGAUCCCACAUGCCUCCCGGCUAAUGAGCCAAAACAUAAAAUGGAAGCAAUAUUGUAACAAAUUCAAUACUUAAAAAAAAAAUGG